GACGAACGCUGGCGGCGUGCUUAACACAUGCAAGUCGAACGGAAAGGCCCUGCUUUUGUGGGGUGCUCGAGUGGCGAACGGGUGAGUAACACGUGAGUAACCUGCCCUUGACUUUGGGAUAACUUCAGGAAACUGGGGCUAAUACCGGAUAGGAGCUCCUGCUGCAUGGUGGGGGUUGGAAAGUUUCGGCGGUUGGGGAUGGACUUGAGGCUUAUCAGCUUGUUGGUGGGGUAGUGACUUACCAAGGCUUUGACGGCUAGCCGGCCUGAGAGGGAGACCGGCCACAUAGUGACAAGGGUACGGGCCGUACGGCAACGGGAGGCAUGAGUGGGGAAUAUUGCAAAAAGGGCGGAAGCAGGAUGCAGCAUCGCCGCGUCCGGGAUGACGGCUAUCGGGUUGUAAAACGCUUUCGCCUGAGACGACGCGUGAGGGAGGUAAAUGGGUAAAGAAGCACGAGCAACCUAGGG
rnacentral:rRNA from 1 species